UCCGGAUUUACUGGGCGUAAAGCGUCUGUAGGGGGUUUAUUAAGUUCCAAGUAAAAUUUCAAGGCUCAACUUUGAAUUCGCUUGGAAAACUAAUAAACUGGAGUCUAGCAGAGGUGCAUGGAACUUGUGGUGUAGGAGUGAAAUCCGUUGAUAUCACAAGGAACACCAAAGGCGAAGGCAUUGCACUGGGCUAGCACUGACCCUGAGAGACGAAAGCGUGGGGAGCAAAACGGAUUAGAUACCCGUGUAGUCCACGCCCUAAACGAUGAAUGCUAAAUGUUCGGGGAUUCGACCCCCUGGGUGUUACAGCUAACGCGUUAAGCAUUCCGCCUGGGAAGUACGGCCGCAAGGCUAAAACUCAAAGGAAUAGACGGGGAUCCGCACAAGCGGUGGAGCGUCUGGUUUAAUUCGACAGUAAGCGUGGUACCUCACCAGGGUUUGACAUCCCUUGACAGCCUUGGAAACAAGGUUUCCUUCGGGCAAGGUGACAGGUGCUGCAUGGUCGUCGUCAGUUCGUGCCGUGAGGUGUUCCGUUAAGUCGGGAAACGAACGAAACCCCUAUUGCAUGUUACAAUUUCUCAUGCAAGACUGCCCGGAUAUACUGGGAGGAAGGUGGGGAUGACGUCAGAUCUGCAUGGUCCUUAUACCCUGGGCGACACAGGCGCUACAAUGGCAGAGACAAAGGGUUGCAAAACCGCAAGGUGAAGCUAAUCCCAAAAACUUUGUCUAAGUUCGGAUUGAAGGCUGCAAUUCGCCUUCAUGAAGCUGGAAUCGCU
rnacentral:rRNA from 1 species